UACGUAGGCUGCGAGCGUUGUUCGGAGUUACUGGGCGUAAAGAGUGCGUAGGCGGUUUUCUAAGUUUGGUGUGAAAUCUCCCGGCUUAACUGGGAGGGUGCGCCGAAGACUGGAAGGCUUGAGUAUGGGAGAGGUAAGCGGAAUUCCUGGUGUAGCGGUGAAAUGCGUAGAUAUCAGGAGGAACACCUGCGGUGUAGACGGCUUACUGGACCAUCACUGACGCUGAGGCACGAAAGCGUGGGUAGCAAACAGG
rnacentral:rRNA from 1 species